GCCCGGGUGGUCUAGUGGUAUGAUUCUCGCUUAGUAGGUCUUCCCAAUUCGGACCAAUCCGUCUCCAUCCAAUUUACUAACAACCAUCCCAGGGGUUAACCCUAUAGCAAAAAUGCGAGAGGUCCCGCGUUCGAUCCGCGGCUCGGGCC